rnacentral:lncRNA from 1 species
UAAUUAAAUGAAGAUUAUUUUGGGAAUUUAAAAUUAUAGAGGGACAAAUUCGUACUCUAUGAUUUCAAUAAAAUAAAAUUGAAUAUCAAGGGUUACACGAAAUUUUACAAUCCAAAAUAUUUUACAAUAUUCAUAAAAAAAUUAUAAAUAACAUAGAGUAUAUGAGGCUGAAUAAAAUCUUACAAUCAAGCCGAAAAUUACAUUAACGUAACUUAGGCGGACCCUUAUUAUUAUUUAGAUAAGACCUAUAAAAUUUGACUUGGUUGACGUGGAGCACCAUUUUGCUGCACGUAUGUUCCAACAACCGGGGCCAAGGCCUAGGACCUAGGCGGCUUAGGCUGACCCCAAGUCAUAGGCUAAGGCCCCACCACCAAACAAAGACCCUUUUCCAUGAAUCACGUUUCAAUCCCUCAUUUCAUGAAUAAUUCACUAAAUGUUUUGUUUUAUAUAUUAUGAAAAUUUUAGAAUA